CAGUACUGUGAAAGUAUAGUAGCUUGUAGCGAGGCUGUCAUAUAAACACACACCAUCUCUCUCUCUCUGCGGUCCUACUUACGUCCGAUGCGACGAACCGGAGGAACGGAGAGUAGAGAAACAAAAGGAGCCGAAACAGAUGAAGGUUUUGGGUGGGGGAUGAAGAUGCUGAGUGCCGAGGUCCACCUCCAAAAGAUGUGCAACCGCAACUUCAUUCCCCAGAAUGUCCGCAGCCACAUACUUCCCUCUAAAAACACGGAACAAGUAGUUUUGAGCGCGAUGGCGGACGACGCGACUCGGAGGGCGGUGUCGGAGAUCCCGCUGCUCAAGACCAACUCCGGUCCCCGGGACAAGGAGCUCUGGGUGCAGCGGCUCCGAGAGGAGUACCUGGCCCUCAUCAAGUAUGUGGAGAACAACAAGACAGCAGACAACGACUGGUUCCGCCUGGAGUCCAACAAGGAGGGAACCAGGUCUGACACACAAACACUGGUGUUGUCACGAUACCAGCAUUUUUACUUUGUUACUAGGUUUAAUAUCAAAAUACUCCAUACCAUCUCGAUACCACAACGAUACCAUCACGUUACUCGAUACCACAACGAUACCAUCACGUUACUCGAUACCACAAUGAUACCAUCACGUUACUCGAUACCACAACGAUACCAUCACGUUACUCGAUACCACAACGAUACCAUCACGUUACUCGAUACCACAAUGAUACCAUCACGUUACUCGAUACCACAACGAUACCAUCACGUUACUCGAUACCACAAUGAUACCAUCACGUUACUCGAUACCACAACGAUACCAUCACGUUACUCGAUACCACAACGAUACCAUCACGUUACUCGAUACCACAACGAUACCAUCACGUUACUCGAUACCACAACGAUACCAUCACGUUACUCGAUACCACAACGAUACCAUCACGAUACUCGAUACCACAACGAUACCAUCACGUUACUCGAUACCACAACGAUACCAUCACGAUACUCGAUACCAUCACGUUACUCGAUACCAUCACGUUACUCGAUACCAUCACGAUACCAUCACGUUACUCGAUACCACAACGAUACCAUCACGAUACUCGAUACAACGAUACCAUCACGUUACUCGAUACCACAACGAUACCAUCACGUUACUCGAUACCACAACGAUACCAUCACGAUACUCGAUACCACAAUGAUACCAUCACGAUACUCGAUACCAUCACGAUACUCGAUACCACAACGAUACCAUCACGUUACUCGAUACCACAACGAUACCAUCACGUUACUCGAUACCACAAUGAUACCAUCAUGAUACUCGAUACCACAACGAUACCAUCACGAUACUCGAUACCACAACAAUACCAUCACAAUACUCGAUACCACAACGAUGCCAUCACGAUACUUGAUACCACAAUGAUACCAUCACGAUACUCGAUACCAUCACGAUACUCGAUACAAUCACGGCACUCGAUACCAUCACGAUACUCGAUACCACAAUGAUACCAUCACGAUACUCGAUAACAUCACGAUACUCGAUACCAUCACGAUACUCGAUAACCCAAUGAUACCAUCACGAUACUCGAUACCAUCACGGUACUCGAUACUCGAUACCACAAUGAUACCAUCACGAUACUCGAUACCAUCACGAUACUCGAUACCAUCAUGUUACUCGAUACCACAAUGAUACCAUCGCGAUACUCAAUACCACAAUGAUACCAUCACGAUACUCGAUACCACAAUGAUACCAUCACGAUACUCGAUACCAUCACGGUACUCGAUACCACAAUGAUACCAUCACGAUACUCGAUACCAUCACGGUACUCGAUACCACAAUGAUACCAUCACGAUACUCGAUACCAUCACGGUACUCGAUACCAUCACGAUACUCAAUAACCCAAUGAUACCAUCACGGUACUCGAUACUCAAUACCACAAUGAUACCAAGACAAAUAAAGAAGGCUUAUUAGCCAAAGUCACAGCGUAGGACUUGAUCCAGACAGAUCUGUAGAGUUCAAUAUCAUUACCUUUGACAUUUAAAAAAAAAGUAUGCAUCAAUCAAUCAAUCAAACAAUUCAUUUGACUUUGGUAAAAACAAUCUAAUUACAUAACAUUAAUGAUAAUCAUUUAUUUGAAUGGUAAGUCUAUUGAUAAACUGGGUAAAUCAAGAUGUAGCCUAGGUCUAUUCACAAUACAGGUGAAUGCAUAUUCAAUAGGAGUUUGGACGUUAAUUGAGUUAUUGAGCUUGUUUUGGCUAAUUUCACACUGCUACAGAAGGAAAAACAAUCUGUUUCCCUUUCGUUUGGAAGAAGCAAUGUCUUUUCUAAAAGUGCAGCAGUAAUGACUUCGUUCACAGCUUUGCAAACGGAGUCCGUUGGUUCGGUGAAGAAGGAGACGUGAGGCAGAGACACUACGCAAACGGAGUCCGUUGGUUCGGUGAAGAAGGAGACGUGAGGCAGAGACACUACGCAAACGGAGUCCGUUGGUUCGGUGAAGAAGGAGACGUGAGGCAGAGACACUACGCAAACGGAGUCCGUUGGUUCGGUGAAGAAGGAGACGUGAGGCAGAGACACUACGCAAACGGAGUCCGUUGGUUCGGUGAAGAAGGAGACGUGAGGCAGAGACACUACGUGGCCAAAAGUACAUGUGGACACACCUUCAAAUUAGUGGUUUCUAUUUCAGCCACACCCAUUGCUGACUGGUGUAUAAAAUUGAGCACACAGCCAUGCAAUCUCUAUAGACAAACAUUGCCUGUAAAAUGGCCCGUACUGAAGAGUUCAUUGACUUUCAACGUGGCACCUUCAUAGGGUGCCACCUUUCCAAAAAGUCAGUUCCUAAAAUUUCCGCCCUGAUAGUGUUGCCUCAGUCAACUGUAAGUGCUGUUAUUGUGAAGUGGGAACAUCUAGGAGCAAGAACAGCUCAGCCACAAGGUUGUAGGCCACACAAGCUCACAUAAUGAGCACAAUAACUGUUGGUUGGGUGCUUCAUGAAAUGGGUUUCCAUGGCCGAGCAGCCACACACAAGCCUAAGAUCACUAUGCGCAAUGUCAUGCGUCAGCUGGACUGGAGUAAAACUCACCGCCAUUGGACUCUGGGGCAGUGGAAACACGUUCUCUGGAGUGAUGAAUCACGCUUCACCAUCUGGCAGUCCGACAGAUUAAUGGGUUUAGUGGAUGCCAGGAGAAUACUACCUGCCCGAUUGCAUGGUGCCCACUGUAAAGUUUGGUGGAGGGGAAAUAAUGGUCUGGGGCUGUUUUUCAUGGUUCGGGCCCCUUAGUUCCAGUGAAGGGAAAUCUUAAUGCUACAGCAUUCUAGACUUUGGCAACAAUUUGGGAAGGCCCGUUCUUGUUUCAGCAUGACAAUGCCUCCAUGCACAAGCAAGGUCCAUACAGAAAUGAUUUGGAUGGUGUUAAAGAACCCCAUCGAAACCCUUUGGGAUGAAUUGGAACACCAAGCCAGGCCUAAUCGCCCAACAUCAGUGCCCGACCUCACUAAUGCCCUUGUGGCUGAAGUCCCCGCAGCAAUGUUCCAACAUCUAGUGGAAAGCCUUCCCAGAAGAGUGGAGGCUGUUAUAGCAGCAAUGUUCCAACAUCUAGUGGAAAGCCUUCCCAGAAGAGUGGAGGCUGUUAUAGCAGCAAUGUUCCAACAUCUAGUGGAAAGCCUUCCCAGAAGAGUGGAGGCUGUUAUAGCAGCAUUGUUUCAACAUCUAUCGGAAAGCCUUCCCAGAAGAGUGGAGGCUGUUAUAGCAGCAAAGGGGGGACCAACUCCAUAUUAAUGACUUCCCAGAAGAGUGGAGGCUGUUAUAGCAGCAAAGGGGGACCAACUCCACAUUAAUGACUUCCCAGAAGAGUGGAGGUGUCCACAUACUUUUGGUCAUGUAGAACAAAGUUGUGAAAAUCAGCAUUAUUUUGCGUUAUGGUCCAAAACAAAGUUCUAGGUUAGUAAAUUGAUGUUAGCAUCAGCUGUAUACUAGAAAGGGAAGUUAGCCUGCAAAGCUGGAAGCUACCGGUAUCUUCUUGCAUUGUAAAGUGUUGAAGCCUGUAUGGACAUUGUGUUGCGAACGGUAAUUUACAGUUUCAACAUUUCUACAUGAUGUGUUGCAUUAUUCAAGCGUGUUAGCUCUCCACUCAUGCUGCACAGAAGAUAACAACUCAGCCCAGACUCAAAGCAGUGGUUCCUCCUCAGGACAGGCUAGUGAGCUAACAUGAUGCAGCCCAGACUCCCAGUGCAGUGGUUCUUCCACAGUACAGGCUAGGGAGCUAACAACUCAGCCCAGACUCCCAGUGCAGUGGUUCCUCCUCAGGACAGGCCAGAGAGCUAACAACUCAGCCCAGACUCCCAGUGCAGUGGUUCCUCCUCAGGACAGGCCAGAGAGCUAACAACUCAGCCCAGACUCCCAGUGCAGUGGUUCUUCCUGAGGACAGGCUUAAGAGUUAGCUCUAGCAAUGAGAAAGUUGAUCAGGGAAGAGGUGGUGUUCAUGCUAGGGGACAUCGGCUGCACUGCUAGACUUGACCCUCUCAAUCAGUAUACGACGUGAGACCCAUUUAACAGAAGUUUCGAAAAAUAUAACAAAUUCUAGUCCAGAACCGUUUUUUUAUUUUCUAGUAUCGGAAAAGUACCAAUGUUUCGGUUUACCGUGCAACACUAACACACACACACUUUUAGUCUUAGUUACAAUUUAGUCAUUUAAUCCUUUGUUAGUUUUAGUUAUUACGAGUCGACAAUUUGUCUAGUUUUAGUCCGUCAUUUCAGUCAAACCUCUGUGUCGUUGUCGUCUGACCAAUCCUGUGUCGUUGUCGUCUGACCAAUCCUGUGUCGUUGUCGUCUGACCAAUCCUGUGUCGUUGUCGUCUGACCAAUCCUGUGUCGUUGUCGUCUGACCAAUCCUGUGUGUCGUUGUCGUCUGACCAAUCCUGUGUGUCGUUGUCGUCUGACCAAUCCUGUGUGUCGUUGUCGUCUGACCAAUCCUGUGUGUUGUUGUCGUCUGACCAAUCCUGUGUGUUGUCAUCUGACCAAUCCUGUGUGUUGUCGUCAACUGACCAAUCUUGGGUGGUGUUUUUGUCAGGUGGUUUGGGAAGUGCUGGUACAUUCAUGACCUCCUGAAGUAUGAGUUCGACAUGGAGUUUGAUAUUCCUGUAACGUACCCGUCCACCGCCCCUGAGGUCGCCAUCCCAGAGCUGGACGGGAAAACGGCCAAAAUGUACAGGGGGGGGAAGAUUUGUCUGACGGACCA